rnacentral:rRNA from 1 species
UACGGAGGGUGCAAGCGUUAUCCGGAUUCACUGGGGUUAAAGGGUGCGUAGGUGGGCAGGUAAGUCAGUGGGGAAAUCUCUGGGCUUAACCCGGAAACUGCCGUUGAUACUAUCUGUCUUGAAUAUAGUGGAGGUGAGCGGAAUAUGUCAUGUAGCGGUGAAAUGCUUAGAUAUGACAUAGAACAUCGAUUGCGAAGGCAGCUCGCUACACUAUGAUUGACACUGAGGCACGAAAGCGUGGGGAUCAAACAGG